rnacentral:tRNA from 1 species
GUUUUUAUAAUUUAAUUUAAAAUAUUGGUCUUGUAAACCAAAAAUAAGAUUUUCCUUUAAAAACA